UUCUUCUGUGCGAUCCCCUUCUUCUUAUUCUUGUUCUUCUUCUUUUGUGCGGUGCCCUUCUUCUUCUUAAUUGUUGGUUUUAAUUGUUGCGAGUGUAUUUGCUAGGUUCAGUUUAACAGAGAAAAGGGGGAAGGCAUGGCUCAUCGAUGAAAAGCACCAUGUGUAGAAUUAGCAUCGAAGAAAAAGUCAAUGCCAAAAAGCAUCUCCUUCGCACUUGGCAGGGAAUGUUUGUACAAUUCUUUCUUCAGGGAAUGCUUGGUUGCUAUGCACAAAUAGAAGUUGGUCAUGGAUCAAGUAUUCAAGGGCUUGAGACAACUGCAACUUUUGACCAAAUAUUACUUUUGAAAGCUGUAUUUUUUUUGUUAUUUGGCAUUGUAUUUGUACAAUGAAUCAUGAAGUUCAAUUGGUAUAGUUUUAAGAAAUAUCCAAUUGUAUGAAUUGAAAAUUGUAGGAAUUGAAAAUUAAAUGGAAAGUGGUUUACAUGAAA